AGUUCGACCCGGCUCAGAUUGAACGCUGGCGGGAUGCUUUACACAUGCAAGUCGAACGGCAGCACGGAUUUCGGUCUGGUGGCGAGUGGCGAACGGGUGAGUAUUGCAUCGGAACGUGCCUAGUAGCGGGGGAUAACUACGCGAAAGGUAGCUAAUACCGCAUACGCCCUUCGGGGGAAAGCGGGGAGACCUUCGCCUCGCACUAUUAGAGCGGCCGAUAUCGGAUUAGCUAGUUGGUGGGUAACGGCUCACCAAGGCGACGAUCCGUAGCUGGUUUGAGAGGACGACCAGCCACACUGGGACUGGAGAUGGCCCAGACUCCUACGGGAGGCAGCAGUGGGGAAUUUUGGACAAUGGGGGGAAACCCUGAUCCAGCAUCCUGGGCGUGUGCGAUGAAGGCCUUCGGGUUGUAAAGCACCCUUGGCAGGAAAGAAACGGCACGCGGAUAAUACCCCGCGUGAUUUGGUACCUGCAGAAUAAGCACCGGCUAACUACGCGCCAGCAGCCGCGGUAAUACGUAGGGUGCAAGCGUUAAUCGGAAUUACUGGGCGUAAAGCGUGCGCAGGCGGUUCGGAAAGAAAGAUGUGAAAUCCCAGAGCUUAACUUUGGAACUGCAUUUUUAACUACCGAGCUAGAGUGUGUCAGAGGGAGGUGGAAUUCCGCGUAGCAGUGAAAUGCGUAGAUAUGCGGAGGAACACCGAUGGCGAAGGCAGCCUCCUGGGAUAACACUGACGCUCAUGCACGAAAGCGUGGGGAGCAAACAGGAUUAGAUACCCUGGUAGUCCACGCCCUAAACGAUGUCAACUAGCCGUUGGGGCCUUCGGGCCUCAGCGCAGCUAACGCGUGAAGUUGACCGCCUGGGGAGUACGGUCGCAAGAUUAAAAACCAAAGGAAUUGACGGGGACCCGCACAAGCGGUGGAUGAUGUGGAUUAAUUCGAUGCAACGCGAAAAACCUUACCUACCCUGACAUGUCUGGAAUCCCGAAGAGAUUUGGGAGUGCUCGCAAGAGAACCGGAACACAGGUGCUGCAUGGCUGUCGUCAGCUCGUGUCGUGGGGAUGUUGGGUUAAGUCCCGCAACGAGCGCAACCCUUGUCAUUAGUUGCUACGAAAGGGCACUCUAAUGAGACUGCCGGUGACAAACCGAGGAAGGUGGGGAUGACGUCAAGUCCUCAUGGCCCUUAUGGGUAGGGCUUCACACGUCAUACAAUGGUCGACAGAUAUCGCCAACCCGCGAGGGGGAGCCAAUCCCAGAAACCCGAUCGUAGUCCGGAUCGCAGUCUGCAACUCGACUGCGUGAAGUCGGAAUCGCUAGUAAUCGCGGAUCAGCAUGUCGCGGUGAAUACGUUCUCGGGUCUUGUACACACCGCCCGUCACACCAUGGGAGUGGGUUUUAAUAGAAGUAGUUAGCCUAACCGUAAGGGAGGGCGAUUACCACGGUAGGAUUCAUGACUGGGGUGAAGUCGUAACAAGGUAA
rnacentral:rRNA from 1 species